UACAGAGGUCUCAAGCGUUGUUCGGAUUCACUGGGCGUAAAGGGUGCGUAGGUGGUGAGGUAAGUCGGAUGUGAAAGCUCCGAGCUCAACUCGGAAAUGGCAUUGGAAACUACCCUGCUCGAGGGUUUGAGGGGGGACUGGAAUACUUGGUGUAGCAGUGAAAUGCGUAGAUAUCAAGUAGAACACCAGUGGCGAAGGCGAGUCCCUGGAAAACUCCUGACACUGAGGCACGAAAGCUAGGGGAGCAAACAGG
rnacentral:rRNA from 1 species